rnacentral:rRNA from 1 species
UCAGGAUGAACGCUGGCGGCGUGCCUAACACAUGCAAGUCGAGCGAUUCUCUUCGGAGAAGAGCGGCGGACGGGUGAGUAACGCGUGGGUAACCUGCCUCAUACACAUGGAUAACAUACCGAAAGGUAUGCUAAUACAGGAUAAUAUAAGAGAUUCACAUGGAUUUCUUAUCAAAGCUCCGGCGGUAUGAGAUGGACCCGCGUCUGAUUAGCUAGUUGGUAAGGUAACGGCUUACCAAGGCGACGAUCAGUAGCCGACCUGAGAGGGUGAUCGGCCACAUUGGAACUGAGACACGGUCCAAACUCCUACGGGAGGCAGCAGUGGGGAAUAUUGCACAAUGGGCGAAAGCCUGAUUGCAGCAACGCCGCGUGAGUGAUGAAGGCCUUCGGGUCGUAAAACUCUGUCCUCAAGGUAAGAUAAUGACGGUACUUGAGGAGGAAGCCCCGGCUAACUACGUGCCAGCCGCUGC